GUGACUCUUGUGUUAGCUGCCUCCUGUUUCACUCAGGUACCCCUCCACAGCGAGGCUACUCUCAGAAGACAGUCCACCUCUGACCCAGCUCCUGUCACAGGUGAGCUCACCUGCUCUGAUCACCUCCUUCUAGCCCCUCCCUCCCUCCUGACACCUCCUGACACUGUGACUUCUGUACAUUCACAUCAGAUAACAGCCUGUUUAUGAGAGGAGCACAUCUGAAGGAGUAUGUUGGAAUGUUUGCAGCCUCAUGUUGAUCACAGAGCCUGCGCUGUUUCACCUGAAGACCGCGGGACCACGUGUGCGUAAUAGGAGGAAACACACAGAAGCAUCAGAGCAGAGGAGAGAAGAAGACAUCCAGCUGAGCUCAGGUAGAUGAUGGCGUGUGUGUUGGCUCUUCUCGUCCUGUCCCUCCUCCUGAUUGGUCCGUCAGCGUCACCUCCGUCUUCAGGUGACGUGUCAGAGGGGGCGGAGCCGGCCUCUCACUGCCCGCCGCGCUGGCUCCUGUUGGGGCAGAGAUGCUUCGCUUUCUACCCCGUGUGGAGCUCCUGGAGCUCUGCUGAGUCCAUGUGCUCUCAGACAGGGGGUCACCUGGCUUCCCUUCACACCCCGGAGGAGAGGCUGUUCGUGGGUCAGCUGGUGAGAACACACACACCUGUGUGGCUGGGUGGACGCCGGGCCCAACAGAACGGCUCCUGGGUUUGGACUGACGAUCAGAACCAGGAAGAGACCGGCGAGGGCGGGGCUUGCAUGCAAAUGGACCCAAUAAGUGGAGAGCUGCAUGGCGCCCCCUGUGGAGAGCUCUGGUUCUACAUCUGCUCCACCGCAGCCAGUUCUGAAGCCUUACCUGAGAACAGAACACCAGUCAAGUCAGGUCUCGCCCCCAAUGUGAGUCUGUUCGAUGCAGUGUGGGGUCCCAGUGACGCGUUGGCCGAGGAGAUUCUCCGCUGGUCCUGCUUCUUCCAGGAGCUCCAGUCCGGUCGCCUGAAGCAGCGCUGCUACAGCAGCUUCAUGCAGCAGGAGGCGCUCUACCUGCAGAGAGUCAGCAGCAUGCUGGAGGUCCUGGUCAGCAGCUUACAGGAAGCAGAUGCUGUGAGAUCACUGCUGCUGGACACUCUGGAACACUACAGCAGCAGAACACAGAACCCCAUCAAUUCACCUCCACCUCAGUGGCUCCAGUCGUCCCUCCAGUCUUUCCACUUUGUGGUUUUGGAGGAGCCGAUCUACUGGCUGGUGGCGCUGUCAGCCCGGGCCUGCCUCUAUGACUUGCUCUCCGGGGUGCAGGUCAGGACGGGGUCUGGGUCUGAACUUGUCUACCAGGACUGGAGCGAAGAGAGUCUGAAGGAAGUCGUCUGGACACAAAGGUACAGACAGGUGCUGGAGAAACAUCAGGAUCAGAUGGACACGUUCAAGGCGAUCCACGUCUUCAGGCAGCACAUGAUGAACCAGAAGAGUCUCCACAAGGCCGUAGUCUGCGAUGAUGACAUCGGUGACACCUUAUGAAGGGUGAAGUUUGUGUCUGGAAGCAAGCGACCGUCUGUUGAAACCAGACUGCUCCUGCCACCAGGGUGAAGGAAUGUCCUGAACUCCACAAGUUUAGGCUUUAUUUUCUAUUUCUAUCCGUUUGUAUGAAGUCAGUAAAGGUGAUGUGAAGUGAGCAAGAGGACAGCGGAGAAGUUUUUCUACUCUGUCUGAUAUGAAUUGUCAUAUUUUACAAUAAGCUACAUCUAGUUUAAGUCCUGUGAUGAGACAUAAAUGUUGACCAGUCUGACAGGCUGGAUGGAAAAAUAAAAAUAAAAUCAAAGAUGGUGAGACUUUCUGUUUAUUUCUGUUUUUACUCCUUUGAAGUUCACGUGAGAAAAUAAAUAAAAAUAAAUAAAUGUCACAAUAAAUACAUUAAAUAUGUGAUUACAUUGGAUUAAAGUAAAGUACAUAUUUCUGUUUGUUUUUUAAAUUUGCCUGUGAAUUUAUUUACUUUUCUAUUUACUCUUCAACGUAUUUAUAAUUGCAAUCUGUCUAAAUUAUUUAAAGCCCCUGUACAGACUUUUCAUUUAGUGUUGAUUUUGGCGGCCCCGCUGGACGAAAGCGGUAGUGUUUUGCCGGAAUGAAGACUGCAUUUUGUUCUAAGUAAGAAACUGAAUCAUUUAUAAUGACAGAGGAUAUUACCGAUGCAUCGUUGCAGGUCGGCAGGGCUGAUACACACAGCUGAAAUGGAUGCGUGAUCUAAGACGUUUGUUGUCGUUUUCACGAGUGUAGUAUCUAGAGCUAAUCUGAUCUGACAGAUAUCA
rnacentral:lncRNA from 1 species